AAUUCAAGUUAAUAAAUGUCUAAACUAAUUUAAGGACAAUAUAAUUAGAAACAUAUAACAGCAUUGAGAAAUUGAUCAGCAUUUCUCAAUGCUAGUCCACAGCAUAUUAAAAGUAUUUUUAUCUUGUGAUUCUGGUGGGGCUGGUUUGGUGUUAUGCAAAUGAAAAGAAUCAUGUUAUAAAGUCUUGAUCUGAUGCUGUCAGCUGCAGAGGAGGAGAAACUCCCAUCAGAUCAUCUUCAACACCAACAUGUUCUCUGUAGCUCUGCUGCUGCUGCUGGCUGCUGCAUCCAGUAUAAAGUGUGAACAGCUGACACAGCCAGCCUCUGAGACUGUGCAGCCAGGUCAACGUCUGACCAUCAGCUGUCAGGUCUCUUAUUCUAUGAGCAGCUACUGGACAGCUUGGAUCAGACAGCCUGCUGGGAAAGGACUGGAGUGGAUUGGGUGGAAAUACACUGGAGGUUCUAACUACAAAGAUUCACUGCGGAACAAAUUCAGUAUCGACUUAGACACUUCCAGUAACACAGUGACUCUGAAUGGACAGAAUAUGCAGCCUGAAGACUCUGCUGUGUAUUACUGUGCCAGAGAGCCACAGUGACACAAACCAGCUGCAGAGCUGAACAAAAACUCAUGAACAAGUUAUUUGAAACCUCUAGAAAGGUUGUUCAUAUAUUGUCUAUAUUUGGCUAAAAACAGAGUUGUGUUUGAAAUAAAUUCACAUCACACUAUUUGAUAUAUGUAUCAUAUUUUGAAAGUCCUUCAGAGGUACGUUAAAUUUGCUU